GAUGAACGCUGGCGGCGUGCCUAAUACAUGCAAGUCGAGCGAACAGACGAGGAGCUUGCUCCUCUGACGUUAGCGGCGGACGGGUGAGUAACACGUGGAUAACCUACCUAUAAGACUGGGAUAACUUCGGGAAACCGGAGCUAAUACCGGAUAAUAUAUUGAACCGCAUGGUUCAAUAGUGAAAGACGGUUUUGCUGUCACUUAUAGAUGGAUCCGCGCCGCAUUAGCUAGUUGGUAAGGUAACGGCUUACCAAGGCAACGAUGCGUAGCCGACCUGAGAGGGUGAUCGGCCACACUGGAGCUGAGACACGGUCCAGACUCCUACGGGAGGCAGCAGUAGGGAAUCUUCCGCAAUGGGCGAAAGCCUGACGGAGCAACGCCGCGUGAGUGAUGAAGGUCUUCGGAUCGUAAAACUAUGUUAUUAGGGAAGAACAAAUGUGUAAGUAACUAUGCACGUCUUGACGGUACCUAAUCAGAAAGCCACGGCUAACUACGUG
rnacentral:rRNA from 1 species